rnacentral:lncRNA from 10 species
GCUUUGGAGAGAAAACUGAUAAUGUUUUUCCUGGUUUACAGCUUUUUUUCUGCUAUGAAACAGCUUGUUUUAUGCUAUUUUCUAACUAUAGUUUAUAUUAUUGAUUUUAAAAAGCAUUAAUGCUUGCCCAUAGUAAAACUGUUAGCACAUUUCUGCUAAUUAACACUGCCUUAAAGGAUCCUAUUGAUAUUCAUCAUUAUAUCUUUGGAUUAAAAAAACACUAGAGGAUACUAAGGUCAACCAUAAAAUUUGUCCCCUUUUCAAGAUCUUAUUCAGAAUUGUGAAUGAAGGCCUUUUAAUAGUCAGGGUUCUGGCAAGAAUCCGAGGGCCCAUUCGAACCAGGUAAUUUGAGAAGAGGACUUUUUUACAAACCUGCAGGCAGAGUUUAGAAAACCCAACUAUGCCAGAUCUAGCAAGAUGGAGAGACAGUAUUAUUUCUUUUCUUUUCGUUUCUUUUCUUUUCUUUUUUGUUUUCUUUUCUUUUUUUUUUUUUUUUUUUUUUUUUGAGAAGAAGUCUCACUCUGUCACUCAGGCUGGAGGGCAGUUGUUCGAUAUCGGCUCACUGCAACCUCCGCCUCCCGGGGUCAAACAAUUCUCCUGCCUCAGCCUCCCAAGUAGCUGGGAUUACAGGCAUGUGCCACCAUGCCUGGCUAAUUUUUGUACUUUUAGUAUAGAUGAGGUUUCACCAUGCUGGCCAGGCUGGUUUCGAACUCCUGACCUAGUGAUCUGUCUGCCUCGGUCUCCCAAAGUACUGGGAUUACAGGUGUAAGCCACUGCACCCAGCCUGAGAGACCGUAUUAUUUCUAGGCCUGAAGAAGCAAGGGGAGAGAGCAGAUACUGUAACACAGAGUGGGUGGCUGUUUGGAGAUAACUGCCCAACCAGAGCUGAAGCUUCCCAAAGAGAGACCAAAUGAUUCACAAUGACCCAGCAGGCAGGGAGCAAGGAAAUUAACAGUCUUACCUCAUUCUCCUAUCAACCCCAAUCUGCCACCAGGCUUCCCACUGACAGAACCUCAUGGAACCUAGAGGGCAAGGGAUUCAGUAGACACGGUCCAUGCAGGAGAAUGAUAAGGGGAGAGAGUAAGAAAGCAAUGAGAUACACAUGUCUUGACUGCUUCUCUUCAUGCUGAAAUCCUGGGGGAAAGAAGUGCUAAAUCAGUUGAGGACAUGGGAACAUUUAUUCUGGAAGAAAUUUGGGUACAGAGACAGACAAGCACCAAGAGAAGAUGAUGUGAAGAAGCACAGCGAGAACACCAUGUGAAAAUGGAGGACUGGAAUGAAGCAUCUACAAGCCAGGAAAUGUCUGAGGCUACCAGAAGCCAGGAGAGAGGCCUGGAACAGAUCCUGCACUAGAACCUUCAAAGAGAGCAUGGUCCUGCUGACAUGUUGAUUUUGGACUUCUGGCCUCCAGAGCUGUGAGAAUAAAUUUCAGUUGUUUUAAG